GACGAACGCUGGCGGCGUGCUUAACACAUGCAAGUCGAACGGAAAGGCCCUGCUUUUGUGGGGUGCUCGAGUGGCGAACGGGUGAGUAACACGUGAGUAACCUGCCCUUGACUUUGGGAUAACUUCAGGAAACUGGGGCUAAUACCGGAUAGGAGCUCCUGCUGCAUGGUGGGGGUUGGAAAGUUUCGGCGGUUGUGGAUGGAUUCGCGGCUUAUCAGCUUGCUGGUGGGGUAGUGGCUUACCAAGGCUUUGACGGAUACCCGGCCUGGGAGGGUGACCGGCGACAAGGGGACUGAGGGACGGCCCAGAGUCCUACGGUAGGCAGCGGGGGGGAGUAUUGCCCAGUGGGCGGAAGCCUGAUGCAGCAGCGCCGCGUGCGGGAUGACGGCCUUCGGGUUGUGAACCGCUUUCGCCUGAGACGAAGCGUGAGUGACGGUAAUGAGUAAAGAAGCACCGGCUAACUACGUG
rnacentral:rRNA from 1 species